AUUUAUAUAGUAUAAUCAUUAUUCUUAACUUCCAAUUAAGAGAUCUAAUAAUAGUAUAAAUA
rnacentral:tRNA from 1 species